rnacentral:lncRNA from 1 species
UGAGUUUUAAGUGUUCAUUAUUCUUGGGUCCAAGUCUUCUGUCAACUAUCUGAUUCUUAAAUGUUUUCUCCCAGCCUAUAGAGUCUUUUACAGAGUAAGUUUUAUUUUUUGAUCAAGUCCAAUUUUUAAUAGUUGUUAUCUAUAGCUUUUUAAAAUUUCUUUCUCUUUUUCAAAUCUACAUUAUGAAUAUAUUAGUUUUACAUUUUAAGUUAUGUUAGUUAAUGCAAAAUGAAUGCCCUUUGCAAUUAAAAAAAGGAUCCCAACAGAAUUCAUUGGUGCAUUUGAAAGAAUUGCCAAAUAUGAUCUGACAUGUCUACUUAAACCCUGGCUUUUUCAGACCAAGAGUAGAAAAGAAGUGUUUUCAAUAAGAUGUCAUGACAUCAGUUUAAUCAGAGGAUACACAGAUAAUUAUAUCUUAAUGCUUCAUAGUCAUUAGUAUGAACAGGGUAUUUUUGACGCUGAAACCUUCCAAAUACAGCUUACAUCUUUACAGUUUUCAAGUUCAGGCUUGGCACAUCCUGGUCGAGUUAUAAAUGACUUAUGAUACUUUAUGUAAUAAUAUGAUUUUACUCUAUGCUUUAAAGCCACAUAUUUAGAAAAUGAACUCAGUUCAUAAUAAUUUGAAAGGAAGUAUGGACAAAAAGUCCUGGUUCUUGGGCCACCUUCAGGGUCCUAGACAUUCCAAGAAAAGCGGGUUUGUUCAAAUGUGGUAUGGCCUUUCAAAGGAAGUGGAGGUGGAGUAGAAGAUAAUGCUCUUUGCAAAGUGUCCUUCCCUCUCCUGAAUCACCACUGGAAAAGUGCUCUUCUGAGGGCUCAGGGAUGCUCUGCUGCAAGUCUAGGCAUCUGUAGUCACUGGGUCUUGGCAGGAUUCAGUCACCAACUUGCCUGGAUGCUGGGGACAGACAGAACUCUAAUCCCGCCAGCAGAGUGAGGGUGAACUUGAACCUCUGCAGUCUUCAGACUCCAAGGUGCUGCUGCUGCUAAGUUGCUUCAGUUGUGUCCGACUCUGUGCGAUCCCA